rnacentral:tRNA from 1 species
AUUUUUAUAGUGUAAGUAACAUUUUGUUUUUUCAAGACAAAGAUAUAAAUAUUAAAAAUA